GGUGUAUUUGAAGAGAAAGGAGGCUCCUUUGGGGCUCUUUUUACUGCAUUAACAAGGACCAGAGUAGUUUAAGACUCUUUGAGGGGUGUGAAGGAAUUGGCUGUAUUCUUUAAAAUACAUAUAUAUUUUUAAAAGGGUGUGUGUGUGUGUGUGUGUGUGUGUGUGUGUGUGUGUGUGUGUUCCUGAGGGCCUGUGCAAGCAACUGGGCUUUACGACUUGCCCUUUUUGGAGGAUCUGACCCCUACCCUGGAGAGAAUUGAAGAGACACCAAGAAAGGUACAGCUUUUGGUUGCUAUGAUUAUACACACACUCUGUAGAACAGGACACCCCCUUUCUUGAAACCUGAGCCAUGUGGCUAUUGCUGGAAUGUGAAGAGACUUUCUAAGCAUUGGUGCCUUGAUUGGACUAGGAAUUGCUGCCCUUGUUUUACUCGCCUUUGUCAUCAGUGUCUGUGUCCUUUGCUAUUUAUUUCUGUAUACAAAACCUCAAAGAUUAGACACUGGCCUUAAGCUUCAACAAUUAGAGGCUUCUUCCACUCAAGAAGGCAAGUCAAAUGGAAAAACCAAAGCCCUCAAUUCAAAUGCAACAAAUGAAACAUACUAUGAAGCUGAUGAUAUAAUUCAAGAAAAAACAAUGGAUGCAA
rnacentral:sRNA from 1 species